rnacentral:sRNA from 1 species
CGAGCGAGAGAGUCCCCGCAAGGGGAUGAGUAAAGCGGCGAACGGGUGAGUAACACCCGGGCAACCUGCCCUUCAGUCAGGAAUAACCCCGCGAAAGCGGGGCUAAUACCGGAUGACGUCCUUCGGGGGCAUCCUUGGGGGACCAAAGGGGGCGAGCGAAAGCGGCUCCCGCUGAAGGAUGGGCCUGCGGCUGAUUAGCUAGUUGGUGGGGUAGCGGCCUACCAAGGCGACGAUCAGUAGCCGACCUGAGAGGGUGACCGGCCACACUGGGACUGAGACACGGCCCAGACUCCUACGGGAGGCAGCAGUGGG